rnacentral:rRNA from 1 species
CAGGGAAUAUUGCGCAAUGGACGGAAGUCAGACGCAGCGACGCCGCGUGGGUGAGGAAGGCCUUCGGGUUGUAAAGCCCUUUUCUGGAGGGCGAGGCAGGACGGUACUCCAGGAAUAAGCGUCGGCUAACUACGUGCCAGCAGCCGCGGUAAGACGUAGGACGCAAGCGUUAUCCGGAUUUACUGGGCGUAAAGCGCCUGUAGGCGGCGGGAUAAGUCGGAUGUGAAAGCCCCGUGCUCAACGCGGGGAAGCCAUUCGAUACUGUCUGGCUAGAGAGCGGGAGAGGGAAACGGAAUUUCUGGUGUAGCGGUAAAAUGCGCAGAGAUCAGAAGGAACACCGAUGGCGAAGGCAGUUUCCUAGGCCGUAUCUGACGCUGAGAGGCGAAAGCUAGGGGAGCGAACA